GAACGGGUGAGUAACACGUGAGAAACCUGCCCCGGAGACUGGGACAACCGUUGGAAACGACGGCUAAUACCAGAUACCCCCGAUUGGUCGCAUGGCCGAUCGAGGAAAUGCUCUGGCGCUUCGGGAGGGUCUCGCGGCCUAUCAGCUAGUUGGCGGGGUAACGGCCCACCAAGGCAACGACGGGUAGCUGGUCUGAGAGGACGAUCAGCCACACUGGGACUGAGACACGGCCCAGACUCCUACGGGAGGCAGCAGUGGGGAAUAUUGCGCAAUGGGCGAAAGCCUGACGCAGCAACGCCGCGUGAGGGAAGACGGCUCUCGGGUUGUAAACCUCUUUCAGUGAUGACGAAAAUGACGGUAAUCACAGAAGAAGCUCCGGCCAACUACGUGCCAGCAGCCGCGGUAAUACGUAGGGAGCAAGCGUUGUCCGGAUUCAUUGGGCGUAAAGAGCUCGUAGGCGGUUGUGUAAGUCAGAUGUGAAAACUCAGGGCUCAACCCGGAGACGCCAUCUGAUACUGCACUGACUGGAGUCCGGUAGGGGAGCAUGGAAUUCCUGGUGUAGCGGUGGAAUGCGCAGACAUCAGGAGGAACACCAGUGGCGAAGGCGGUGCUCUGGGCCGGAACUGACGCUGAGGAGCGAAAGCGUGGGGAGCGAACAGGAUUAGAUACCCUGGUAGUCCACGCCGUAAACGUUGGGCACUA
rnacentral:rRNA from 1 species